AGCCGGUUUGGUCAGUCCUCCGGGAAAUCUGAUAGCUCAACUAUUAGGCUUUCGGGGGAUACUGCCAGACUUGGAACCGGGAGAGGUAAGAGGUACUACAGGGGUAGGAGUGAAAUCUUGUAAUCCCUGUGGGACCACCUGUGGCGAAGGCGUCUUACCAGAACGGGUUCGACGGUGAGGGACGAAAGCUGGGGGCACGAACCGGAUUAGAUACCCGGGUAGUCCCAGCCGUAAACGAUGCUCGCUAGGUGUCAGGCAUGGCGCGACCGUGUCUGGUGCCGCAGGGAAGCCGUGAAGCGAGCCACCUGGGAAGUACGGCCGCAAGGCUGAAACUUAAAGGAAUUGGCGGGGGAGCACAACAACGGGUGGAGCCUGCGGUUUAAUUGGACUCAACGCCGGACAACUCACCGGGGGCGACAGCAAUAUGUAGGCCAAGCUGAAGACUUUGCCUGAAUCGCUGAGAGGAGGUGCAUGGCCGUCGCCAGUUCGUACUGUGAAGCAUCCUGUUAAGUCAGGCAACGAGCGAGACCCGUGCCCACUGUUACCAGCAUAUCCUUCGGGAUGAUGGGUACUCUGUGGGGACCGCCGGUGUCAAAUCGGAGGGAGGUGCGGGCCACGGU
rnacentral:rRNA from 1 species